ACUUGUACCAACUGGAUGAGCAGCGAACGGGUGAGUAACGCGUGGGGAAUCUGCCUUUGAGCGGGGGACAACAUUUGGAAACGAAUGCUAAUACCGCAUAAAAACUUUAAACACAAGUUUUAAGUUUGAAAGAUGCAAUUGCAUCACUCAAAGAUGAUCCCGCGUUGUAUUAGCUAGUUGGUGAGGUAAAGGCUCACCAAGGCGAUGAUACAUAGCCGACCUGAGAGGGUGAUCGGCCACAUUGGGACUGAGACACGGCCCAAACUCCUACGGGAGGCAGCAGUAGGGAAUCUUCGGCAAUGGACGAAAGUCUGACCGAGCAACGCCGCGUGAGUGAAGAAGGUUUUCGGAUCGUAAAACUCUGUUGGUAGAGAAGAACGUUGGUGAGAGUGGAAAGCUCAUCAAGUGACGGUAACUACCCAGAAAGGGACGGCUAACUACGUGCCAGCAGCCGCGGUAAUACGUAGGUCCCGAGCGUUGUCCGGAUUUAUUGGGCGUAAAGCGAGCGCAGGUGGUUUAUUAAGUCUGGUGUAAAAGGCAGUGGCUCAACCAUUGUAUGCAUUGGAAACUGGUAGACUUGAGUGCAGGAGAGGAGAGUGGAAUUCCAUGG
rnacentral:rRNA from 1 species